CCCCUUUGAAACCGCCCGCAACCUGCCUAUACUCAAAGCGUUCCCUCGGGAACUAUGGGCAUAAACGCGCAUGUAAUAAGCGGAUCGGACCCGGGGGCGGUACCCGGCGGCUCCACCAAAUCACCCUUCGUUGGGGGGAUCCUGGGGCCGAAACAGGAUCGACGAACGUGUAAAGAUGUAGCUUUGUCCCGGUGAGCCACCACCGUUAUCGGUGCAAAUUGCAUAAUUGCCAACGACAAUCAUGCUCCGGUUGCUCUCGCCGCUUAAUGCGGUGCGAUAGACCGAAAUUUAAGCCCUUGCGCCUAGCAGCGUAAGGCGGGGUUCGCAGGCACCUGGCAACAGAAGCCUGCACU
rfam:Citreicella sp. SE45 genomic scaffold scf_1113211290437, whole genome shotgun sequence.